UACGGAGGGUGCAAGCGUUAUCCGGAUUCACUGGGUUUAAAGGGUGCGUAGGUGGGCAGGUAAGUCAGUGGUGAAAUCUCCGGGCUUAACCCGGAAACUGCCAUUGAUACUAUCUGUCUUGAAUACCGUGGAGGUGAGCGGAAUAUGUCAUGUAGCGGUGAAAUGCUUAGAUAUGACAUAGAACACCAAUUGCGAAGGCAGCUCACUACGCGAAUAUUGACACUGAGGAGCGAAAGCUAGGGGAGCAAACGGG
rnacentral:rRNA from 1 species